CCUCUUUUCUUCGUGUCUUCUUCUCCCGAAACCACCGACCCAGCGUAGCGACGGCGCCUCCACACCCGAGCUCACGGCGACGAUGAAUCCGGCGGUCGGCAAAACCUCCUAGGCCUCUAACCCUCGAUGACAGCGUCACCAGAGCUUCUUCCUCUCCUCGGAUUUCAGCGGCACACGGGGAAUCUUCAGUCGAGAGGAGCAAAUCUGAGCUCCGGUGACUCCGAGGGUGGUAACUCCUGUUCCAGAGCUUGAUAGGGACGAGGACGUAUACCUCAGGCAGUUUCCUCAUCUUCCCGAGGCUGGAGCCGAGUGGAUCGGGUCGGGUUUCUCUCAGCCGAUUGUGGAGGUCUUCGGCAGCAAGGUUGGGAGGAUUGUAUGGAUUGAGGUUUUGUGGUGGCAGUGGCUUGCUGGGAAGGGGAUCGAUCACAACCUCCAGCAGCUGUUCAUCAUCCGAGACUCAUGGUUUGAAAGCCCUGUAGGAGCUCUGUUCGUGAAUUUUGGCAGUGGCUCACUGUGAGGAGUCCGGCCACAAUUCCCAACUGCUGUGCUUCAUCCGGGGAUUAGUAGCUCUGUGAGGACUUGGAUCUGUUAAUCAGCAGCAUUUGGGCAGCAUCGGUGUGCUAGUGUCGAUGAUUUCACCUUUCAAUAGCAAGUUACCAGUGGGAGGCGCUGGUGUGCCUUGUAGAAUUGUGGUUGUGCUUCUGAGGUAGCGAGCAGCAUCUUUGUGGUUGUGCUGGCGAAUUCCAUCUCCGGGCAGGGAGUCAACAGAGGACUUUGAUCAAGGCGGAUGCUGUGACGAGAUUGACGUCGGAUUUAGCCUACAUUUACAGGCGGGUACUUCUUGCUUUAUUUCUUUAGUAUUUUAAUCCUAGUGCAUG